GACGAACGCUGGCGGCGUGCCUAAUACAUGCAAGUUGAGCGCUGAAGGUUGGUACUUGUACCAACUGGAUGAGCAGCGAACGGGUGGGUACCGCGUGGGGAAUCUGCCUUUGAGCGGGGGACAACAUUUGGAAACGAAUGCUAAUACCGCAUAAAAACUUUAAACACAAGUUUUAAGUUUGAAAGAUGCAAUUGCAUCACUCAAAGAUGAUCCCGCGUUGUAUUAGCUAGUUGGUGAGGUAAAGGCUCACCAAGGCGAUGAUACAUAGCCGACCUGAGAGGGUGAUCGGCCACAUUGGGACUGAGACACGGCCCAAACUCCUACGGGAGGCAGCAGUAGGGAAUCUUCGGCAAUGGACGAAAGUCUGACCGAGCAACGCCGCGUGAGUGAAGAAGGUUUUCGGAUCGUAAAACUCUGUUGGUAGAGAAGAACGUUGGUGAGAGUGGAAAGCUCAUCAAGUGACGGUAACUACCCAGAAAGGGACGGCUAACUACGUG
rnacentral:rRNA from 1 species